GAGUAGGAAAAGGAAGAACCAAAUUCCAUGAUUAAAUUUAGAAGAGAAUAAUAGAAAAUUUUCACUUUGCAUCCAAUGUUAUUGCUUCAGCAGCUCAGCUCACAGAGGGAGCGACACCGGCAGGGAAAAUCACCUGCGCCCAAUUACCUCUAGCCUCGCCGGCGAACGGCGCUCCCCUCCCGUUGAAGGAACCUUAGUUUGGAUCAAUAACCUCUGGCUUGUCUCAAUGGAUAAGGGCAGUGGAUGGUGCUUCCCCACAAUAUGCCCAAAGUACACAAUUGCUCUUAUAAUCGUCAUCCUUACAACAAUUGUAAUGCGCAUAAUUUAUGUCAUAUGUGGCAGUGGCAAACCCCUUCACACCUCAUCUCCUAAGCCAAAGAGCACCCUGAUUAUCCUGGGUUCAGGGGGUCACACUGCUGAGAUGCUUAAUCUCAUCUCUGUGCUUCAGAAGGACAGGUUUACACCAAGGUUCUAUAUUGCAGCUUGGACUGAUAACAUGAGUCUUCAAAAAGCUCGUGUAUUGGAAGACUCCCUGGUUAAUCAGACCGGUGAUGGGAAAGUUCUAGAGGCUUCUCAGUUCAUGCAAAUAUAUCGAAGCCGGGAAGUAGGUCAAUCAUAUUUAACUUCUGUUGGGACAACCUUAAUUGCCACAACUCAUGCCUUCUGGCUGAUGACUAAAAUCAGGCCCCAAGUGAUACUGUGCAAUGGCCCUGGGACUUGUAUCCCUCUCUGUGUAGUUGCUUUCAUUUUUAAGGUAGUUGGGAUUAGAUGGUCAUCCAUUUUCUAUGUUGAGAGUAUAGCAAGAGUUAGGAAGCUCUCGUUGAGUGGCUUGCUUCUCUAUGAAUUACGUAUGGCUGAUCAGUUAUUUGUUCAAUGGUCUCAACUACAAAGGAAAUACCCCCGAGCACAAUAUGUUGGCCGUCUCAUGUGAGCUGACAAAUCUAAAAUUUCAGUGCAUUGUCAUGAGUCUCAUGACCAGAGUAUCAGUGCUUCACAUGUGCAUUGAGGUUACACAGCAACAAUUCAUGUCAAUUGGAAGCAGUUGAGUUGCAAAACUAAUGAUUUUUGCAUACAAAGUUUUGUGGAGCUUAAGUUCAUCAUACAUUUACAGAAAAGAAUGGAUUUUUGUUUUGGGCCACAUGAAGUGCGGUGACUUUGAAAUACAAACCGAUGAGGACCCGAUGGUAAAGCAAGGAACUAGGUCUGGUUAUGGGUUUGAAUCUCACUGCAGGAGAUGAUUUGGGAAGCUAGAUUCUACAGUGUGGACAGUGUGGAGAGCCUGUGGAAGUGUUUCCUUCACCCCAAAUCUCAUGCUCAAGGGAUGCAACCAAGAACAUGUAGAUUGUCAUUUUCAAGACCACAUGAAGUGUUUUCUUUUAUAGAACAUUUUGGAGGGGAAGCUGCAUUAAAGAAACCACGAGAAAUAUAUUGCAGAGGCACUAAUUGUGCAUGGAAACCCAAGGGCAUACAGUAGAGAGUUCUGAGGGUCCUGCAAAGUCUGUUCCAACUGCCAAGAAUGGGGCAGAGAUGGUGAGAAGAACAAGCGAAAUUGUAUUAAAUGUUGACAACAUUAUAAAUGAUUGUGCUAGUAGUUCUCUUA